rnacentral:tRNA from 1 species
ACACUCGUGACCGAGUGUUUAAGGCGAUGGACUAAAAAUCCAUUGGGGUCUCCCCGCGCAGGUUCGAAUCCUGUCGACUGCG